rnacentral:rRNA from 1 species
AACGAACGCUGGCGGCAUGCCUAACACAUGCAAGUCGAACGAGACCUUCGGGUCUAGUGGCGCACGGGUGCGUAACGCGUGGGAACCUGCCCUUAGGUUCGGAAUAACUCCCCGAAAGGGGUGCUAAUACCGGAUAAUGUCUUCGGACCAAAGAUUUAUCGCCUUUGGAUGGGCCCGCGUUGGAUUAGCUAGUUGGUAGGGUAAAAGCCUACCAAGGCGACGAUCCAUAGCUGGUCUGAGAGGAUGAUCAGCCACACUGGGACUGAGACACGGCCCAGACUCCUACGGGAGGCAGCAGUGGGGAAUAUUGGACAAUGGGCGAAAGCCUGAUCCAGCAAUGCCGCGUGAGUGAUGGAGGCCUUAGGGUUGUAAAGCCCUUUUACCCGGGAUGAUAAUGACAGUACCGGGAGAAUAAGCUCCGGCUAACUCCGUG